rnacentral:rRNA from 1 species
UCGCCUACGGGGGGCAGCAGUGGGGAAUCUUCCGCAAUGGGCGAAAGCCUGACGGAGCAAUGCCGCGUGAGUGAAGAAGGGUUUCGGCUCGUAAACUUCUAUCAACAGGGACGAAAGAAAUGACGGUACCUGAAUAAGAAGCCCCGGCUAACUACGUGCCAGCAGCCGCGGUAAUACGUAGGGGGCAAGCGUUAUCCGGAAUUACUGGGUGUAAAGGGUGAGUAGGCGGCAUGGUAAGCCAGAUGUGAAAGCCUUGGGCUUAACCCGAGGAUUGCAUUUGGAACUAUCAAGCUAGAGUACAGGAG